UUCUUUUGAAGUUUCAGGUGAUCUCAUAAUUCAAGUGAAGGGAAGUAGAUAUUUGCUUCACAAGGUCACACAUUGCAGCUUCAAGCAUUCUUCAAAUCUUGCAUACUCCACGGCUGGAUGGACAAAAUUUCCACUCUUAUACUCUACAAAGCAUGAAGCUGACAACCUUUCAGAUCAGUACACGAAUGAGCUUUGUGGUUGUUGUACAUAGUGUUAAAUGAACAUGUGAAAAUUUUGUUUCAAACUGAAAACCUCGUUUGAUUAUGGGUAGUUGUUAGUUCACUUAGAACGACAGAAAUUGAUAACUGUUAUGCACCCCUAAAUGCAGUUAUUUUUGUCUAUACAAGCGGUUUCAUUUGUAAUAAUACCAAGUCCCGCAGCAAAGCGCGGGUAAAUUUUCUAGUUGAUGCUAUGUACGAAGUCUGCUAUCAAUUAUUCCUAUCUCUAGACUCUACUGCAUUGUGUAAAUGUAAAUAUUCACACUGCUCCAAGAGUAUUAGAAUGUUCUUGUUGGUUGUUGGUUGUUAA
rnacentral:lncRNA from 1 species